rnacentral:rRNA from 1 species
GACAGAGGGGGCAAGCGUUGCUCGGAAUCACUGGGCGUAAAGGGCGCGUAGGCGGGAUGCAAGUCGGUCGUGAAAUCUCUCGGCUCAACCGAGAAACGUCGGCCGAUACUGCCGUUCUUGAGGGAUGCAGAGGGAGACUGGAAUUCCCGGUGUAGCGGUGAAAAUGUGUAGAGAUCGGGAGGAACACCGGUGGCGAAGGCGGGUCUCUGGGCAUUUCCUGACGCUGAGGCGCGAAAGCGUGGGGAGCAAACGGG